rnacentral:lncRNA from 1 species
GGUUAGGGGGAGGGCCGCCGGCGGCAGUGCCGGUCUCCUCCUACAGGGACGCGCAGCCCGGGACCGCCACGCGCAGCGCGGGAGGGGGAGGGCGGGACCGGGGAACAGGAGGGGAGGGGGACCCGGGUGCUUCCAGCGGUCCGGGCCCGCGGACGGAGUGCGGGCCGAUCCCGCUCACUGUCCCCUUCCGCAGUCCGCGUGCAGCUCCAGGGAGCUGUCCGCCCCGGUGGUUCUGAACCAGGCGCCGCCGAAACGCUCCAGUCCUGGCCCAGAUUGCAGAUGAAACCUCCACUAUCAUUGAGAAGCCAUAGCAAAGAGUCUUUCUACAAACAACAUGGGAUUAUGAAAGAAAUUAGCCGUGCAAUUUGUGGCUGAUUUCAAAGACUCUGAAGAGGUGGUGGAUGCCCAGGAAAGCUGUGAUGCCUGCAAAAGCAGACACCUUGGAAGAUAGUGAAAAGAUGUCAAAGAGCUCUUUAAAAAAUAUAUACUGAGGUAUUAUUGAUCACUGAGUUUGAGGAAGAUUAAAGUGAAGACCUGGAAGAGCAUCAUAUCGACCCCUGAACAUCACUGGUUUAAGUUAAUGUAAGCAAUGCUAUCCCUAUUCUUGAUAUGAAGCCAUAGGAUGGAAAGUCUUGCUUUUAAGAAUGGCCUCAUGCCUUGAUAAUACCCUACAAUGAAAUGUCUGCCCAUAAGCUCUCAGUGUAAACAGAGAUCCCCUGGGGAAUUUUUUCAUCCUGUUGUGUCACCAACUCCUUUGAAGAUUUACCAGGAUCCAGGAGCAUCUACAGCAGUAGCUUCUCAAGUUUUGUCAGUUCCAGGUGUCUACCUUACUUGGCAGGUAACAUUACAGGUAAUAUUCUUAAUUUAUUGUAAUCUUCAUUUGCAUUUUCCCUGGGGGAACCAUUUAUUGCUGUAUGUUAUUUGGUGUGCUGUACUGCUAAUGUAAUGAUGCAUGCAAACCUCACCUGCUGUUGAAUACAGAGCAAAUGUUGGUUAACAGUGUAUUAAUUGUUUUGUGAUCAAGAAGCAAUAUUUUAAGCAUUUUAUAUUCCUUUUGAGUUUGUUACUUACAUACAGGCAUUUCAUUGUUUUUGUUUGUCUUGUAAGUUGGUUAGAGAUUGACAUAUACAUUUCUGCUGACAUAUUCUGUAUAAUAAAUUUGCCUUUUAAAAUAA